GUAGUACUCCCUCCGUUCCGAAUUACUUGUCGCAGGUAUGGAUGUAUCUAGAUGUAUUUUAGUUCUAGAUACAUCCAUUUCUACGAUGAGUAAUUUGGAACGAAGGGAGUACAAA
rnacentral:pre_miRNA from 1 species